rnacentral:tRNA from 1 species
UCCCCGGUGGCUCAGAUGGUAAAGAAUCUGCCUGCAAUUCAGGAGACCCAGGUUCGAUCCCUGGUUUGGGAA